rnacentral:rRNA from 1 species
UACGUAGGUGACAAGCGUUGUCCGGAUUUACUGGGCGUAAAGAGCGCGCAGGCGGUCGUUCAAGUCGAGUGUGAAAGCCCCCGGCUCAACUGGGGAGGGUCACUCGAUACUGAUCGACUCGAAGGCAGGAGAGGGAAGUGGAAUUCCCGGUGUAGUGGUGAAAUGCGUAGAUAUCGGGAGGAACACCGGUGGCGAAGGCGACUACCUGGCCUGAUCUUGACGCUGAGGCGCGAAAGCUAGGGGAGCAAACGGG